rnacentral:rRNA from 1 species
UACGGGGGGAGCAAGCGUUGUUCGGAUUUACUGGGCGUAAAGCGCACGUAGGCGGCUUUGUAAGUUAGAGGUGAAAGCCCGGGGCUCAACUCCGGAACUGCCUUUAAGACUGCAUCGCUUGAACAUCGGAGAGGUAAGUGGAAUUCCGAGUGUAGAGGUGAAAUUCGUAGAUAUUCGGAAGAACACCAGUGGCGAAGGCGACUUACUGGACGAUUGUUGACGCUGAGGUGCGAAAGCGUGGGGAGCAAACAGG